AGCAGCCGCGGUAAUUCCAGCUCCAAUAGCGUAUAUUAAAGUUGUUGCAGUUAAAAAGCUCGUAGUUGAACUUCGGGGUUCAUCCAUUGGUCAGGCUUAAUUGUCUGUACUGGUGAGAUGAAUCUCUACCUUCUGAGGAACUUUCAUGCCAUUUAUUUGGUGUGAUGGGAAAUCAGGACUGUUACUUUGAAAAAAUUAGAGUGUUUAAAGCAGGCUCACGUCUGAAUACAUUAGCAUGGAAUAAUGAAAUAGGACGUAUUGAUUAUAUUUCGUUGGUUUCUAGGAUCACCGUAAUGAUUAAUAGGGAUAGUUGGGGUAAUGAAAUAGGACGGACUGAUUCUAUUUCGUUGGUUUCUAGGAUCACCGUA
rnacentral:rRNA from 1 species